rnacentral:rRNA from 1 species
AGUGAACGCUGGCGGUAGGCCUAACACAUGCAAGUCGAACGGCAGCACAGUAAGAGCUUGCUCUUACGGGUGGCGAGUGGCGGACGGGUGAGGAAUACAUCGGAAUCUACUUUUUCGUGGGGGAUAACGUAGGGAAACUUACGCUAAUACCGCAUACGACCUACGGGUGAAAGCAGGGGAUCUUCGGACCUUGCGCGAUUGAAUGAGCCGAUGUCGGAUUAGCUAGUUGGCGGGGUAAAGGCCCACCAAGGCGACGAUCCGUAGCUGGUCUGAGAGGAUGAUCAGCCACACUGGAACUGAGACACGGUCCAGACUCCUACGGGAGGCAGCAGUGGGGAAUAUUGGACAAUGGGCGCAAGCCUGAUCCAGUCAUACCGCGUGGGUGAAGAAGGCCUUCGGGUUUUAAAGCCCUUUUGUUGGGAAAGAAAAGCAGCAGGUUAAUACCCCGCUGUUCUGACGGUACCCAAAGAAUAAGCACCGGCUAACUUCGUG